rnacentral:rRNA from 1 species
UACGUAGGGUGCUAGCGUUGUUCGGAAUCAUUGGGCGUAAAGCGCGUGUAGGCUGUUAGGUAAGUCGAUUGUGAAAUCCCUGGGCUCAACCGAGGAAGUGCAGUCGAAACUACCUAGCUAGAAGACGGCAGAGGAAGGUGGAAUUUCCGGUGUAGCGGUGAAAUGCGUAGAUAUCGGAAGGAACAUCAGUGGCGAAAGCGACUUCCUGGACCAGUACCGACGUUCAGGCACGAAAGCGUGGGGAGCAAACAGG